CCCUUAGAUGUCCGGGGCUGCACGCGCGCUACACUGAAGGAAUCAGCGUGCUAAAACCAUUGUCGAAAGGCAUUGGUAAACCCAUUAAAAUCCUACGUGAUUGGGAUCGGGAAUUGCAAUUAUUUCCCUUGAACGAGGAAUUCCCAGUAAGUGUGGGUCAUAAGCUCGCGUUGAUUACGUCCCUGCCCUUUGUACACACCGCCCGUCGCUGCCCGGGACUGAGCCGUUUCGAGAAAAGCGGGGACUGCUGCUGUCGGGGCUUUCGGGCCUUGGCUUCGUGGAAACCGCUUUAAUCGCAGUGGCUUGAACCGGGCAAAAGUCGUAACA
rnacentral:rRNA from 1 species